rnacentral:lncRNA from 1 species
GCUACCUAAAAAAAGGUUUAAUUAUUACAUUAGGUGGACAACAAAGUUUACAUGGUUUUGUAGAUGAUUGCAAGACACAUGUAACAAAGUUGGGCAAAGUGACUAGGACGAUCACAUUAUUCGCAAUGGAGAGAGUUUAAGUGAAAGAUUGUUGCUCAAAAUUUCUUUUGGGAAACCAUGGCUAAUUGCUUUCAUAGGCAUUUGUAAUUCUGCUUGAGAUCAUUACCC